rnacentral:rRNA from 1 species
UCGGUAAAACUCGUGCCAGCCACCGCGGUUAUACGAGAGACCCCAGUUGAUAAAUACGGCGUAAAGAGUGGUUAGAGGACCCCCAUAAUAAAGCCAAAGACCCCCCAGGCCGUCACACGCAUACGAGGGCACGAAGUUCACACACGAAAGUAGCUUAAAUUACCCGAAGCCACGAAAGCUAAGAAACAAACUGGGAUUAGAUACCCC